UGAUGGCUGGGGCGACUCUGUGCCAGCACUGUCUGCACAGCCAGAAACAAGAGUCUUGAAUCUGGGAUCCAAAAGUGUAGCCUUGGCCAAUGUCCUCAAGGAUUCCACUGUUCCAAACCAUUUCUUAAGGUUUUUAAUCAAGUUGUUUGUGAGCUCUAUUGCUGUUGUUGAUAGAGCUCAACGGUGGCAUGGUUAACGGCUGAAAGGGCUUGAAGACGCUGUGUGAUUGCUUCAAACUGUCCACCCUGUUAAAGGGUGUCACAUUGGUGUUCAAGGACAUUAGAGCAGCACCAACUGCUUCACGUUCUUCAUAUAUUCUUUGGAGCAUGAAAAGGACUCUAACAAAAUGGACUUUGCUGCUUUGAUGUGCAAUGCUGUGUGAGUUUCAGGAAACUUCAAAACUUCCAGCACAACACUACACAUCUUCUCUUCAUUGACACAAUGGCAUGUUACUGCAAGCAACCAUGUCCUUUAGCCCAUGCCUUGGUGGAAGCACAUAUGUUGGAUUUCUGCACAAAAGCCCUGAUGCCCUCGUCCUCCACCAUGGAAAAUGGCUGGGAGUCCUUCACUAUCAUGUCCACCAGAUCCUCAUCAAUGUCCUUUU